CGGAGGAGCUAGCGUUGUUCGGAAUUACUGGGCGUAAAGCGCACGUAGGCGGCUUUGUAAGUUAGAGGUGAAAGCCCGGGCUCAACCCCGGAAUUGCCUUUAAGACUGCAUCGCUCGAAUCCAGGAGAGGUGAGUGGAAUUCCGAGUGUAGAGGUGAAAUUCGUAGAUAUUCGGAAGAACACCAGUGGCGAAGGCGGCUCACUGGACUGGUAUUGACGCUGAGGUGCGAAAGCGUGGGGAGCAAACAGGAUU
rnacentral:rRNA from 1 species